AGGUUGUGACGAUUCUCUCCGUCUCUUCUCUCAGUCUGGGGUAGGAGCCAAGCUGUGGACCAACACACAAUGCUGCAGUCUUGUGCGAUCACUCUCUUAGGAACCCGAAGGAGGAAACGGAUGAAGUCAACAUCUCCAGCUGAAACGGAGGAAGUCAACAUCUCCAGCUGAAACGGAUGAAGUCAACAUCUCCAGCUGAAACGGAUGAAGUCAACAUCUCCAGCUGAAACGGAGGAAGUCAACAUCUCCAGCUGAAACGGAUGAAGUCAACAUCUCCAGCUGAAACGGAUGAAGUCAACAUCUCCAGCUGAAACGGAUGAAGUCAACAUCUCCAGCUGAAACGGAGGAAGUCAACAUCUCCAGCUGAAACGGAUGAAGUCAACAUCUCCAGCUGAAACGGAGGAAGUCAACAUCUCCAGCUGAAACGGAGGAAGUCAACAUCUCCAGCUGAAACGGAUGAAGUCAACAUCUCCAGCUGAAACGGAGGAAUUCAAAAGCACCAGCUGAAAAGUCAUUAUCAGUUGUCCGACGAGAGAUGGAAAUGAGAGUCCAUAGUGUAAUUACAGAUCAGAGGACAUUAGUCUCGGAGGUGUCAACAAAACAAUCAACCGUGAAAGUGAAUCAUGUUUUAUUUUCUGCUCAUUUAUAAGUCAUUUCACAGUUUACGUGAUGUUGAACAGUAGGGAAAUACUAUUGAAAAAGGAGGAACUGUCGGGUUGUAGUUUUAAAUACUGGCUAUACUGGUUAAUGGUUACGGUCACUGAUAAGGUUGGAUCGCUGUGGAUUAGGGAGGAAUGUGGGCCGAGGUCAGGUCAGAUGUGGAUUAGGGAGGAAUGUGGGCCGAGGUCAGGUCAGAUGUGGAUUAGGGAGGAAUGUGGGCCGAGGUCAGGUCAGAUGUGG